UACGUAGGGUCCGAGCGUUGUCCGGAAUUACUGGGCGUAAAGAGCUCGUAGGUGGUUUGUCGCGUUGUUCGUGAAAACUCACAGCUUAACUGUGGGCGUGCGGGCGAUACGGGCAGACUGGAGUACUGCAGGGGAGACUGGAAUUCCUGGUGUAGCGGUGGAAUGCGCAGAUAUCAGGAGGAACACCGGUGGCGAAGGCGGGUCUCUGGGCAGUAACUGACGCUGAGGAGCGAAAAGCGUGGGGAGCGAACAGG
rnacentral:rRNA from 1 species